CCCCUCCCCGCCUUCUGCGGUGCCUGAGGAGAAGAGCUGGGCGCGCUUCUGUAGAGCCCCGGGGAUGGCUUUGGCUUUUCACAGUCCCGGAGCUUCCCGGCACCCAGGCUCCGGCGGCGAGAUCAGCGGUUUCCGCGGUACGCUAGGCCCGUACCCCUAAUGAGCUCGCAGGCCUCGGGGCUGGUCAAGGACUUGCUGGGCCCCGCUGUGGUUUCCCACCUUUUUCCCUGAAAAGGAGCAAAAAAUCAACGAUAACAAAUAAUCUGAGAUGCUCAGGACUUCCACGUGCUCCUCAGCCACCUCUCCAGCCACGGCCCGAAGCAACUCGUUGUCUCCCCAUCUUUGGCAGCAGCCAGUUCCUAACAGGGCUCCGGCAGCAGCACCUUCAAGGGGCCAAAGGUGUAAAUCCUGGUAGAAGCGCUCAGCAUGGGAUGGCACAGAGGGGCUGUCAGGUUGGGUGGCACGGGGAUGGGCUUUGAUGCUUUUAUUACCCUGAGCCUCAAACUGGGACAGUUUGUCUCUCUGGCUUGGCACAUGGGUUACUACUGCUCUGGCUGGUGAGGUUUAACACAAGUAGAUUUUAAGCUGAGCCCAAAUCCUCUGCUAAAAAGCACUGAUAAUUGACAGCUAGAUGAUGCCAGAGUAGAAGUGCUGCAGGCAACAAAAGCAUGGUAACCAGCCCUGAACUGACUUAAAGAACAGCUGGAGAAAGGAAAAUGUUAGUGGUUUAACACAUGACCAGGGAAGGGGUGAUUGACACUUUAUUCCCAAACAUCUAAAGCAGAUAAAAGCGAGGAACGGAUGUCGUCUGCCAUGAUUGCCGGAGCAGGGCUUUUGCCUCUGAGCCCUAUGGGACAACAGACCUUUCAUGUUUGCAUAAUGUGAUCCAGGAGUUGACCUUUCUUUGAGAUCCUAAUAUGAGUCACAGAGCAAAUUCUCUGAUUUGGCCUGAGAUUGCCAAGUAUCGGAAGGGGAUUUCCUAAAUUAUGUGCUUGGAUCUGGAGUCAAAUAGCCACUUGGCAAAGGCUAAGUAAAAUGGAGUGUCUCCUGGUGUGAUAUGUUCAAAACAGUGUAAUUUCUUAACUGGCCUUCCCUUUCUCCCCUCAACACCUUCCCCCCCCCCGUUCCUAUCAUGGAAAUUUUCUUGGCAAAUGACUUCCAUUUCCUUUUGAUUUAUUUAGGCACCAGCCCUGUGAAUUUGGCAGCUGGCCUGGUACAAGCAGGGCUGAUGCCAAACUCAGAGCUGUGUCAUCUGUCAGAGCAAUUUGUUCUCAGGAAUGGAAGGAGAAGUUAUUUUCCAGCAGGAGCGGGUUGGCUGUGGUCACAGGAGCACACUGAAGCCUGUAGCAGCAGGGAACAGGAUUUAUCCUGGUGUGAUCCUCACACCAGCAGGGAGCUUGCAUCAGGAAUACACAGGGACCAUGAGAUGACAAGACCCAGAAAAACUAGUGAAGAAAACUCUCUCUGUGCACAGCAAUUGUACAAAGCAUUGGGAAGCACACAGAGAAAACCUGCUGGAAGAAAAUGGCACAGUAUCUGAGUUUUGUAAGGAGAAAUGUAACUGAAAUAGCCAUAGGCUGGAAGUGACUGGCUGCAAAUGGAAAAAAUCUGCUACACAUGUCCAGCUGAAACGCAGAGCCUGAGCA